AUAAAAAUAAUUGCGCUAUCUCGUCGCGUGACAUGCGCACGAGGUCUCUGCGAUUGCUAAUCGAUCUACAAAUACUUACACGUACAUAUGUACAAAACUCGUGGCCAUACACCACGUUGUCCAUAUUAUUUUCAUCUCGUUAAUAUAUUUUGUAUAUUUAUGAUGUUAUUAUUUUACUAGUAUAACGAUUAUUGCACUAUAUUCUAUAAGAUGGAGCUUUUGUACGAACAAUUUCAGGAACUUUUAUAACAAAGGAAAGUACUAAUUUUUAACAUUAACUACCCACGACAAUUUACGACAAUUAUUUUAACCUACGUUCUUACUCUAAUUUUUAUUCGCUCGCCUAAUGAUUGAAUUUUUAAUCAAUCAUUGUUGAUGAAAAAUUGCGAUAAUUGCAUUGCGGAUCUUUAUGCAAAUGCAUAUUUUCGUGGAUACAAUAAUACAAUUGAAAGAUUUGAUACAAUCGAAAGGACUUGGGCAAAAGUAUGUUUCUAUCCAUUAAAUAUCAUCGAUAGUGCUGUACUUUUGGAUAUUUUACAAAAUUUUGCGUCAUACGCAUUCUAUGAAUUUUCGUAUCUUCGAAUCACCCAUAAUUGCAUAAAAAUCCGCUGUUUUGUGAUAAUGAAUAUUAAUGACGGUGGAAUUUAAGAUUCCUGGAUUCAGUAACUUGUCUUACUCUAAUACAUGUAUUGCACGUUUUUGGAAGACUAAAGAUUCUUUGCUCGAGAUCAACGCGACAAAUAUUGUACUUCGUGGUGAACGUUUCGCUACAGCCUUUCGACCUCUGUGAUCGAGUUUUCGCUUUUCCUCGAUUUUAUACUCGAUCUCCGUAGCAUGCUACUCCUUAAAGGUUCACCGCGAAGCGACGCUCUUGUCACGUAAAAUAACAAAAUAAAAAAAGGAAUUUGAGGUAAAAAUAAAAAAGAAAACUUUAUUUUUUUUCUAACAUCAAUACACUUUACAAUCUACUUCCGAACUCUAGGCGUGACUUUCUAAGACUGACUCUUAUGAUUUUACUUUCGAUCGGAUCCGAUUACUUUCUUUUGUCAUCCCUCAACAACCCCACCGUCCAUGCAUUUGCUAGGCGUCCGCGAUCGUUGCCACGUGCUCUUUCUUCUAGAACCUUCGGUGGAAGGACCGUUGGGAUGUUGAUGGUUCAUUAGGCACUUCAGCGAUAUACAUUGUCGCCGAGUGCCGCCACAUCUUUAUCUCUAUCGUCAGUCCGUCGGAUUUGAAGUAUGCCGGUCGACACGAGAUCAUCGGAUUCGUCGAGAAAAGCCUUCGUUCAGAAAGUAAGGGAAAUUGGCGUUGCUGCUAAUUGGUCAAUCUCCAUAUCGGUGGUUAGAAAAAGAUGCUAGCCGCCCUCGAGGGAAAGUUGC